CGAGCCGCUGUUCUGAGCUGCAGCCAGGAUCUGCCCCCGGCCCCGCUGGGAUCCAGACAGGCUGCAGAAUGUUUUGCUCCAGCUCAUCCCAGCCUGGCGUGGGACAGGGAAGAGAAAUGGCUGCAGUGGAGUCAGUCCAGGGGCUGGUGACCUUCAAGGAGAUGGCUAUGUAUUUCACCAGGGAAGAGUGGGCUCUGCUGGACCCCACUCAGAGAGCCCUCUACUGGGAUGUCAUGCAGGAGAACU